AAAUUAGCUUUUAAAAUGAAUGGGUCUGGGAAAAGGAAAUAUAGCGAAGCGGAACUCCUAAAUGUUUUGGAUAAGAUGAAGAUAUAGUCUGAUUUUUCGCGAAAGCGAUCA
rnacentral:autocatalytically_spliced_intron from 1 species